GAAGUGGCACUUACAUAAAAUAAGCUACGGUGGAACAAAGGGUUAAAUAGUUUUAAAGCCACUAAACAGAAAAUACGACUGCAUAUUAGAUCUACCAAGAGUUGAUAAUCUUUCGAAGCCUAAUAAAAUGACUGAGGGUAAGAGGACCCGUUC